UAGCGAUGAAAUAGAAUCUCUGUUCCUG
rnacentral:piRNA from 2 species